rnacentral:misc_RNA from 1 species
CCUCCUUACCAAAAGUCGACGUGACACACUUGAUGCAGUGCCUACACAGAUAGUCUUGUUAUAUUGCCAUUACUCUUAGAGUGAAGGUGAUUUAACGAUGCCCAAGAGAAUUUGCUCAGCAAAUUUAUUUUGGCAAACGUUCUUUAACAAUUUGGAAAGCUGAUAUUAAUAGUAAUCAAUCAAAAUUGAGUAACUGAGAAUUUAUAGUAUGCGCUUAAGCGUACUGUGAGUCCUCCUUGCGCAAAAGUCAUCUGUUGAUGAUUUUGCACUAGACUACUCUACUUGACUUGAAUUGCUUGUUAUCAAUUAAGUUUGAUGACAAGGCAAAUUCACGAUUAGCUUGUCAUCAUACAGCAGGUAUUCAAUUACCGCUCAAUGCAGGAGUCAAAAGGCUGCUUGGGGUUGUAUGGUUAAGUGACAAAGCGUAUACGGUGGAUGCCUUGGCAGUA